rnacentral:tRNA from 1 species
AGCCCCGUAGUCUAGUGGUCAGAUGGUCGGCUCUGGACCGGCAGACCCAGGUUCGAAUCCUGGCGGGGCUA